rnacentral:rRNA from 1 species
GAUGAACGCUGGCGGCGUGCCUAAUACAUGCAAGUCGAGCGAACAGAUGAGGAGCUUGCUCCUCUGACGUUAGCGGCGGACGGGUGAGUAACACGUGUAUAACCUACCUAUCAGACUGGUAUCACUUCGGGAAACCGGAGCUAAUACCGGAUAAUAUAUUGAACCGCGUGGUUCAAUAGUGAAAGACGGUUUUGCUGUCACUUAUAGAUGGAUCCGCGCCGCAUUAGCUAGUUGGUAAGGUAACGGCUUACCAAGGCAACGAUGCGUAGCCGACCUGAGAGGGUGAUCGGCCACACUGGAGCUGAGACACGGUCAAGACGCCUACGGGAGGCAGCAGUAGGGAAUCUUCCGCAAUGGGCGAAAGCCUGACGGAGCAACGCCGCGUGAGUGAUGAAGGUCUUCGGAUCGUAAAACUCUGUUAUUAGGGAAGAACAAAUGUGUAAGUAACUAUGCACGUCUUGACGGUACCUAAUCAGAAAGCAACGGCUAACUACGUG